rnacentral:rRNA from 1 species
GAUGAACGCUGGCGGCGUGCCUAAUACAUGCAAGUCGAGCGAACGGACGAGAAGCUUGCUUCUCUGAUGUUAGCGGCGGACGGGUGAGUAACACGUGGAUAACCUACCUAUAAGACUGGGAUAACUUCGGGAAACCGGAGCUAAUACCGGAUAAUAUUUUGAACCGCAUGGUUCAAAAGUGAAAGACGGUCUUGCUGUCACUUAUAGAUGGAUCCGCGCUGCAUUAGCUAGUUGGUAAGGUAACGGCUUACCAAGGCAACGAUGCAUAGCCGACCUGAGAGGGUGAUCGGCCACACUGGAACUGAGACACGGUCCAGACUCCUACGGGAGGCAGCAGUAGGGAAUCUUCCGCAAUGGGCGAAAGCCUGACGGAGCAACGCCGCGUGAGUGAUGAAGGUCUUCGGAUCGUAAAACUCUGUUACUAGGGAAGAACAUAUGUGUAAGUAACUGUGCACAUCUUGACGGUACCUAAUCAGAAAGCCACGGCUAACUACGUGCCAGCAGCCGCGGUAAUACGUAGGUGGCAAGCGUUAUCCGGAAUUAUUGGGCGUAAAGCGCGCGUAGGCGGUUUUUUAAGUCUGAUGUGAAAGCCCACGGCUCAACCGUGGAGGGUCAUUGGAAACUGGAAAACUUGAGUGCAGAAGAGGAAAGUGGAAUUCCAUGUGUAGCGGUGAAAUGCGCAGAGAUAUGGAGGAACACCAGUGGCGAAGGCGACUUUCUGGUCUGUAACUGACGCUGAUGUGCGAAAGCGUGGGGAUCAAACAGGAUUAGAUACCCUGGUAGUCCACGCCGUAAACGAUGAGUGCUAAGUGUUAGGGGGUUUCCGCCCCUUAGUGCUGCAGCUAACGCAUUAAGCACUCCGCCUGGGGAGUACGACCGCAAGGUUGAAACUCAAAGGAAUUGACGGGGACCCGCACAAGCGGUGGAGCAUGUGGUUUAAUUCGAAGCAACGCGAAGAACCUUACCAAAUCUUGACAUCCUUUGACAACUCUAGAGAUAGAGCCUUCCCCUUCGGGGGACAAAGUGACAGGUGGUGCAUGGUUGUCGUCAGCUCGUGUCGUGAGAUGUUGGGUUAAGUCCCGCAACGAGCGCAACCCUUAAGCUUAGUUGCCAUCAUUAAGUUGGGCACUCUAAGUUGACUGCCGGUGACAAACCGGAGGAAGGUGGGGAUGACGUCAAAUCAUCAUGCCCCUUAUGAUUUGGGCUACACACGUGCUACAAUGGACAAUACAAAGGGCAGCGAAACCGCGAGGUCAAGCAAAUCCCAUAAAGUUGUUCUCAGUUCGGAUUGUAGUCUGCAACUCGACUACAUGAAGCUGGAAUCGCUAGUAAUCGUAGAUCAGCAUGCUACGGUGAAUACGUUCCCGGGUCU